rnacentral:rRNA from 1 species
UACGUAGGUGGCAAGCGUUGUCCGGAUUUACUGGGCGUAAAGAGCGCGCAGGCGGUCGUUCAAGUCGAGUGUGAAAGCCCCCCGGCUCAACUGGGGAGGGUCAUUCGAUACUGAUCGACUGGAAGGCAGGAGAGGGAAGCGGAAUUCCCGGUGUAGUGGUGAAAUGCGCAGAUAUCAGGAGGAACACCGGUGGCGAAGGCGGAUCUCUGGGCCUUACCUGACGCUGAGGCGCGAAAGCUAGGGGGAGCGAACAGG